rnacentral:rRNA from 1 species
AACGCGAAGAACCUUACCAACACUUGACAUGUUCGUCGCGACUCUAAGAGAUUAGAGUUUUCGGUUCGGCCGGACGAAACACAGGUGCUGCAUGGCUGUCGUCAGCUCGUGUCGUGAGAUGUUGGGUUAAGUCCCGCAACGAGCGCAACCCUCACUUUUAGUUGCCAUCAUUAAGUUGGGCACUCUGAAAGAACUGCCAGUGAUAAGCUGGAGGAAGGUGGGGAUGACGUCAAGUCCUCAUGGCCCUUACGUGUUGGGCUACACACGUGCUACAAUGGCAUCUACAACAGGAAGCAAAACGGCAACGUUAAGCAAAUCCCGAAAAGAUGCCUCAGUUCGGAUUGCACUCUGCAACUCGAGUGCAUGAAGCUGGAAUUACUAGUAAUCGUGGAUCAGCGUGCCACGGUGAAUGCGUUCCCGGGUC